AUUGAACGCUGGCGGCAGGCCUAACACAUGCAAGUCGAACGGUAACAGGAAACAGCUUGCUGUUUCGCUGACGAGUGGCGGACGGGUGAGUAAUGUCUGGGAAACUGCCUGAUGGAGGGGGAUAACUACUGGAAACGGUAGCUAAUACCGCAUAACGUCGCAAGACCAAAGAGGGGGACCUUCGGGCCUCUUGCCAUCGGAUGUGCCCAGAUGGGAUUAGCUAGUAGGUGGGGUAACGGCUCACCUAGGCGACGAUCCCUAGCUGGUCUGAGAGGAUGACCAGCCACACUGGAACUGAGACACGGUCCAGACUCCUACGGGAGGCAGCAGUGGGGAAUAUUGCACAAUGGGCGCAAGCCUGAUGCAACCAUGCCGCGUGUAUGAAGAAGGCCUUCGGGUUGUAAAGUACUUUCAGCGGGGAUGAAGGGAGUAAAGUUAAUACCUUUGCUCAUUGACGUUACCCGCAGAAGAAGCACCGGCUAACUCCGU
rnacentral:rRNA from 1 species